rnacentral:rRNA from 1 species
UGGGGAAUUUUGGACAAUGGGCGCAAGCCUGAUCCAGCCAUGCCGCGUGAGUGAAGAAGGCCUUCGGGUUGUAAAGCUCUUUCGGUGGGGACGAAACGGUUCGUGCUAAUACCACGGACUAAUGACGGUACCCGAAGAAGAAGCACCGGCUAACUACGUGCCAGCAGCCGCGGUAAUACGUAGGGUGCAGGCGUUAAUCGGAAUUACUGGGCGUAAAGCGUGCGCAGGCGGUUUGUUAAGACAGAUGUGAAAUCCCCGGGCUUAACCUGGGAACUGCGUUUGUAACUGGCAAGCUAGAGUGUGGCAGAGGGGGGUGGAAUUCCAAGUGUAGCAGUGAAAUGCGUAGAUAUUUGGAGGAACACCAAUGGCGAAGGCAGCCCCCUGGGUUAACACUGACGCUCAUGCACGAAAGCGUGGGGAGCAAACAG